rnacentral:lncRNA from 1 species
UCACCGCAGAUGAUAUUUUGUGAACUCGUUUUAUGGGUCCAAUUACAACUAGAUACUACCAAGCAUGAAAUAACAAAAAAACAAAAGGAUGACUAAUUUGUCAUAAUACAUACCAUGUUCACUUAAUCGAUUUAAUAAGAUUUAUCUUAAGAUCGAUGUUAGAUAAGAUUGACACACAAACAGAAUCACUAACGAAAUCCAUUUGGCACCACCUAAACUCUCGAGUUUUUGACUUUGGCUUUCCAUUAUUUCAGCAAAUCAGUAAGCCAAAUUGUCUCUUCUUGUCGUCUAACGUCCAGCAACAAAAUCAAGUUUAUAGUAUUAAUUUGUGUCUAAAUUAAAGAGUAGUUUAAUGACUACUUCAAGCAAACACAAUAUCCCACUUUAAAAAGUCCUUUGAAAUAAGAUUAAACGAAGUAUUAUUAUUAGUAGAGAAAGAGUCUGAUAUUGUUUAGUGGAGUAUUUAUUAUAAAUACUUCUA